rnacentral:rRNA from 1 species
AUGGUUUGGCUUCUGGACGAUGUCUACGACGUGCAACACCGGUCCUACAUGAUGCGCGAGAAGGAUAAGAAGCUUGAACCUCUGAAGAUUCGGUAUCACGGGGUCUCUGGUCCUGCCAUGCCUUACGAUGAGCGGUACACACCGUACAUCAAGCAGGCAGGACUACUCCCGUGGAUUCUGUUGGUCAGCCGGUCCACGCCGAAUCUGAACGCUCCACUGGUGUCCGCUCUUGUUGAUCGGUGGAGGCCAGAGACCCACAGUUUCCAUCUUCGGACCGGGGAGAUGACCGUGACGCUCGAGGAUGUCUCGUUGAUCACCGUUCUUGCUAUUGACGGGAGGCCUCUAUGUAUGAGCACCGAUUCUGAUGGGUGGCGCGAGCAGAUGAUUGCUCUUAUCGGUAUGGCUCCUACCGAGGCUGAGGAUGAUGUAGAGGAGGGAGAAGAGAAGAAGAAGAGGGAAAGGAAGGCAGCUGGAGCUGCUUUCACGUGGAUUCAAAAUAACUUUGCGACGUGCCCUCCGGAUGCAACUGAUGAUGUGAUCCAGACACAUGCUCGUGUGUAUAUGUGGUACAUUGUGUCGAGGACUUUGUUUCCUGACUCCACUGGCAAGAACGCUCCAUGGAUGUGGCUGAAGGCGUUGACCGUCUUCGAUAGCAAAUGGAGCUGGGGUUCAGCGACUCUUGCCUACUUGUACCGACAGCUGGAUGAUGCGUGUUGCAGGAUCACACCUAGUGCAGGCAUUGGUGGUAAUCUGCUUCUACUUUCUGUAUGGAGCUGGGAGCGUCUGCCUGUUGGACGCCCGAAGAGCGUCAGGUUUGAUCCUUGGUAUGCAGAUGAACAUGACGAAUUACGGCGCCCCACGUGGGCUUACAAGUGGGAUAUCGUUUCCGAGAUGACGAACGAUGUCAAUCUCAUGUACCAAAAGUACAUUGCCGAGUUCGACACAAUUACGCCUGAGCAGGUGGAAUGGCAGCCAUAUGGCGCGGGUGAGAGCUUGGGGUACACCACGGACUUCCGCCUCAACCCGAUGUGCUUGCGGGAUAAGGAUCUCUGGCUUAUGCGGUGCCCAUUGAUAUGCAACUGGGCGGUUGAGUUUCAUUUGCCGCAUCGCGUGUAUCGUCAGUUUGGUCUUUUCCAGCCUCACCCGCCGGAUUGGGUGGACACGAAUAAAGCACUUCAUAGGUUGGACAGGAGAAGGCAACGGAAGAUAAAGGACUGGGCCAAGCAUCAUUCUGCGUAUGUUACCCGCUUCCAGCUUUGUGUGGAGCAAGCUCGUAGCACUGCACGCGCCCCGCUUCGUGAGCACAACUCACUUGCUUUUGAUAACUAA